rnacentral:rRNA from 1 species
GACGAACGCUGGCGGCGUGCUUAACACAUGCAAGUCGAACGGAAAGGCCCUGCUUUUGUGGGGUGCUCGAGUGGCGAACGGGUGAGUAACACGUGAGUAACCUGCCCUUGACUUUGGGAUAACUUUUGGAAACUGGGGCUAAUACCGGAUAGGAGCUCCUGCUGCAUGGUGGGGGUUGGAAAGUUUCGGCGGUUGGGGAUGGACUCGCGGCUUAUCAGCUUGUUGGUGGGGUAGUGGCUUACCAAGGCUUUGACGGCUAGCCGGCCUGAGAGGGUGACCGGCCACAUUGGGCCUGAGGUACGGCCCAGACUCCUACGGGAGGCAGCAGUGGGAAAUAUGGCGCAAUGGGCGGAAGCCUGAUGCAGCAACGCCGCGUGCGGGAUGACGGCCUUCGGGUUAUAAACCGCUUGCGCCUGGAACGAAGCGUGAGUGACGGUAAUGUGUAAAGAAGCACCGGCUAACUACGUG